CCUGUCUUCAUCAUCGUCGUCACUCUUUUCUUCUGCAAUGACCAUGUUGUCGUUGUCACUCUGGUCUGCCCCAAGGUCUUCAUUAUCUUCUGCUGCUGGUAGUGGACUUGGGCUUUUGGAACGAGUAGGAGGAUAACUCUAGGAUUCGGUCGGAAGACAAUUCGCUUGUUAACUAAUCACGUAACUUGAGCCAACGUUACUUUCACACAUUUUAUUGUAAAUUUAAAAUAGCUGUGAAUAUGAAAACGAAAAAUAUGAAAACAGACUGGAUUUCUAUGAACCGCUCUAUUUUUGGGAUCCCGGCGCACUUGAUUUGUCUCGUCUCACACACCUUUGUUCUCAUGAGAGCUUUCCAUGAGUUUCGCAAUCGUGAUCUUGUACUAUAAAUUAACAUACGAACAUGAACAGUAAGUCAAAAAGAAGGUAAAAUAUGAAGAAAAAGAAACAGAAAAUAAUACUCAAAAUGAGACGUGACAAAACGAAAGUUUGUUUGUGUUUAAUAAAUCAGGGUCUAAAUAGUA